GGGGGAGAGAAGGAAAGAAUAGCGCGUGGGUGUACACAAGCAGGUAGUUAAAUGUGUAGUGGGAUAGGGGGGGGGGAGAGGGUGAGGUGACGUUCCCCAAGUGUUUUAUUUACAAGGAAUCUCGAGACCUGUGCGUGCGACACACGAACAGAUGUGAAAGCAGCUUUGCCAUCCCUCCCACAUCCUCACUCCCCACUUAUCACCUUCCCGCUGAAGGGAUUGUCUACAUCAUUUCCCAGUGUCUACAUCAGGUGUAUGUCGGCUACAGAUUCCCUGGAGUGCAGGAGUACUGUUCCAGGGAGCACAGCUAUGAACCAGAAGUAAAACAACCGCGAGUUGCAGUUCCGGAGCGGAAACUAUGUUGGUUCCUCUGCUCACAGGCCAGGAUGUCAGCAGGUAACUUCAGCCACGAAACGGGAAAUACAGGUCCGUGACUGAAGUAGGGCAACGGGUUGGCUGAUGCCCUAAAAAGGUGACCUGUGAGGGGGAGGAAUGAAGGUGAUUGGGACUCUAGUCACCGGCUCGAUACCGAGGCGAACUUUUUUCUCCAGUGGACCCAACCGUCAGGAACCUGUCAAAGAAGGUUGCAAUAGGGAGGGUAGCAAGAUAGAGGUAGACACCGUCCUCACAACAAGAAAGUUGACCCCGAAGAAAGGGAUUUCUGUAACACCUGAUUUCCCAAUGACGAUAAGGUUAGGGGACAAGCUUCACCUUAAAGGUCUUCUUAACCGGAUAAACUACACUCCUUCUGUCACAAUAUGUGUGGAACACUUUUAAAAGACGAUCCUGUUUAUAUUUAUGUUAUAUGUUCGACAACAGGUGUCCGGGUACAGAUCUGCACACACUGAGCAAUGCUUAGGUCAUCAUGGGUAUGAGGGUGCAGGCACCGUAACAAAAUUAAUGAUGUUAUAAUGAUGAUAAUGAAUGUUGCGGCCCUAUGCUCCACGAGGAGUAACAAUAAAUAAACUAAACUAAUGAUAAUGAAAGGUUUGUUUGCUCAGGUCCACCCACCUCGGUCUUGCCAGCAUUAACAAUGUUGUCUGACGCCUAACACCUACCGGGCCUUCAGCAAGGUGUGCAGGUGAGUCAACAGAUAAUUGUCUUCUGUCCUGUGACUGUCAUCCGCAUAUAUCAGAGUAGCUUGGUGGUGGUGUGAAUGGGACGAAGUUUUUAAGCCCUACAGCCCUAACAGCAGAGUCGGAAGAUGAAAUACAAAAAAAAAAAACUUUGGAAAAUCUUUGAGAUUGAAGAAAAGAAAACAAAACACAAAACGACCUAAACCUUAUCAGCUUGUCACCCGAAGCACUCAGAGGUUCUACAGGUUCAGCGUUUGAAGGUCCUGAUGUCCUCAGAAAAUCUGAGUCGUCCAACUAUGGGGUUACGUGCCGGUUGAGUGUGUUUACAGUUGUUCUUAAAAGCGUGACAAAUUCCUUGUAAUUUAUCGUAAGAAACAUCAGGAAGGUGAAGUCAUAAAACGAAUAUUUACCAAGAUGGCGUGUUAUUCUGUCCUGUGUCCAUGACACAGGGUGACGCCAUCGGAUACCCCACAUGGGCGACACCAUAUCGCAUUUCAUGCGCAGCAGACAUUCGUCUGUUUUCGUCGUUCAUUUGCAUUCCAAAAGGGGGAAGAACAUACACACACAAAAAUCAUUAUCUCCUGCGCAACAGACAGGGUAGAACAUACCCGGUUGCUUCUUUCCCAGCGUUUUGUGUGUGGGCGGUCCAGAGGCGCAACCGCAAGGCAUUUGUCACCAAGACCACGAUGGUUGUAGGUUCAGAUUCCCUCUCUGGCACAAGUAAAUUAUUUGACAGUUGUUUGUAGAGCUGAACUAGCUGGACUUGAUAUAGCCUCAUUAACUCAGUGCAAAGACAUUAAAUCAGGUGGACCAGGGUACGAGCUGAAUAGAGGUACCACCCCUCCCUCGUCUUUUACGGUGUGUCACUGAGCUACAGUCGUAAUUCUUCUGAGAUGCUAGACACUAACUGUGCAAUUCUGGUGUAUCCUGCACGCAAAAGCUGAAUAAAAUUUAGCCAUUUUUCUGUAUACGAAGUCAGGACAAUAAAAACUGGGAAAAAGCGGUUGUGAGAACUGUGAACCGUUGUGACUCUAGCUUCACCUGAGGACGUUAAAUGAGAUGGAUGUACACUAUCUCUCCCGCGGCAGAGAAGAUAGAAACAGAGAACUAGGGUAGAUUUGGGAUGAAUUCUAUUAUUUUUGAUGCAUCCCUCUCCAGUCAUAAACUCUAUUUGAAAAGCCUUGCUUAUAAAAUAUUGUGUACACUAUCGAAGCACCUCGCUGUGACAAAGAAAGAAAAGAAUGCUUCAUCAGCGAACUGUUUUCGGCGCUGGUCACCACUAACAUAUACAAUAAAGAAGAAAAAAAAAAACAGCGACAGAGAGAGGAGGGCGUCAUGUGUAAUGGAGUAUCACUGAGGUGUUAACAUCAAACGGCAAUAUAUUCUCGUGAGAACAGGGCGGCUGUCACCAUUGUAGGGAAAAUCCGGCUUUCUAUCUGCGGUCGGACAACUCUCGGAUGUGCCUCAGUCCGGUGGGAGGGUCGGGGUGAUGCCACCAGCUUCCAUGAAACCAUGCGAUGCCUGCAAAAUGUUGCACCCAGGUCCCGCCAUUUGACUCCAGCCUGACGUCACUGGGAGGGCAAACCGUUCUACAGUUUCGCGGAUUUUGUCGCAGACUGCAUCCGCCUGCUCCAUCCCUACUACAACUGUGGCGGCAGUUACGAGCACCUACCUGGUUGGUGUCUGUGUAAAAUGUGCAGGAUGCGGUAAGUACACAAAGGAGCUGCUUCCCCUGAUGACGUUUUCCCUCAACGCCUGCACGCGCUCCUCUCCACUUCAUCGCCUCCCCCUCAGCGGUCUGGUGGCGCGAGAGCUUGGAGGUCACGAGCACAUGCACAGUGAGAAUUGGGUGUUCCAGGUUCAGAUCUCAUAUCUGGCAUGCUGUGGGGUUUUUUCUGUUUUUGUAUGUGGCAGCCCUGCACGGUUAAAUCCUGGACGCCUCUUAUAACUGAAGUAGAAGAAGUCAAUAUACAACCGUCAUACCGCAUAUUUACCCCUUCGUUGCUUUCUGUGUGUUGUUGACAAUCCACUUCAACAGCUAGAGGGCUACAUUACUUUAAUCUGUUUUUCUUUAUUGAACUAACACUAUUCUUUUCUUUGUCUCUUUUUAAUUUAAACUUGUCUUUUCAUGAGUGCAACAUUCAGAUGAACAUUAUUAUGGAAUAUUGCAAAACUGGAAAGUUAAGAUUAAAACAUAAAAACAAAUUACCUGUCAACCAAAAUAUAUUUCAGAUUGAAUUUAACUACACAGAUGCAUGUUUCCUUACAGAACUAUAAAGAUCCCACUAAUGCCAAGAUAAAACAUUGUUCAAGUUUGCAAAAUCCAGUAUACACACUAAGCCAUGAGGCUUGAUGUACUACAAAACAUGAAACUUGCAUUCAGAUCUACAACUGUGAAAACCUGGUAUUUAUCCCAUUUAUUUAUCCAAAUUAUGAUUUAAUAUGGGAUGCACUCCAAGAAAGUUGUUGACUGCACCACAAAAUAAAAAAUGUGAGGUAAAUCUGACACUAUGUAUGGUGUGCCAGCUUUUCUUUCCUAUAUAUAAUCUUGUUAGCAGUACAACAAAACACCCUGACAUAUAUACCAAUACACUGAAGGUUCAUUUUUAUUACCAACCAGCUAAUGAAAAGCCAGUGUGCCAUUUGAAACCCUGCACAGUGGUUCUGCCUAUUACCUGUGAACGCUGUUAGGAACAUGUCUGAUAUAGCUAUACUCAUACUCAUAUCUACAUUUUUUUCCACAGAAAUGCCCAAGUAAUCCUUCCACCAGUUGAAACAUAUCUGAAACAUAUACAUGCUUUUAUGGAUGGAAAUAGACUAGAACGCUUACAUAACCCUCUCCUGUAUCAUUUUGCUUUAGUCCAAGGAAAAAAUAAAUCCUCAAGGUUUCUAACAAGGGUGACGGUUCUGAAAUGAAUUUCAGCAGAUUCUGUUUUCUAUCACAAACAAGAUCCUGAUGGCAUGUGCCAAACCCAGCUUCCAACAACAGCAGAAUCAAAAUAACUAUGUCAAAAUAACUGCGUGAAAACUAAAAAUUAAAACCAUCUUUAUCUGAAGGUGGUGAUAAGGCCAAGCAAACACUGCACUGUUAUGGUCAGUCACAUGCCACAACUUCCAUCUGUACAUUGACAGCAGUCAUAGUCUUUUAAUGUGACCACAUACUUAACUGUAAUUUUACUUCAGAUACAAAGUACCUCAUGCAAUCGUAAAACAGAAGUACAAAUGCAAAGCAUUGUGAUGUUCUUACAAAAAGCAGAAAGAACCACUUUCAGCUCACCAGUAAUACAUGCAAAACUUGAAAUUACAUGAAAUCAGAUGCAUGUAACUUCAUUAGAAAUGUCUGUAAUUAAAGUAAUCAGGUCAUGUCAUGGUUAAAAAAAAAA
rnacentral:lncRNA from 1 species